UCUUUCUGGGGCAUCUAAGUGAGCUAUACGACUCACUGGACAAAGGCUUUUGAAAGUUUGUUACAAGUCAGGUGAUCUAGGGAUACAGUUUGAAGUUGUGAGUUCAAGGCCUGGUUGAUGCAGAGUGACCAUGUUAAUGCAUACUGAGGUGAUGUGUGGAUUAGUGACAGACAAUUUAAAAAAUAUUAAACACUUAUUUUACAGACAAUUUUACUCAUGUAUUUGUCUCCUCCUCAUACUUUUCCAUGAUCGGCCUCAUCCCAUGGCUGCUGUACCCUGCUGACUGGCUUAGUCCAGUUGUGAAGCUGCACAUAAGUUCAUUGAUAGACGGUCUUUGAUGUCAGAGGCCAAGCCUUAACUGAUGCAAAAAACACACCGUAAUGCUGACUUUUAGGCUACUACAUCAGGGUUUGUUGAUGCUGGGAAUUGAACCCUGAUCUCCCAGGGGAAAGGGCAAGGUUUGGUGUGUUGGGCCAGGGAGCUGGCAUGAUGGUGGCUGUCAUGUGUGAGUUAAGAGCUGGUUGCCCCAUGGAUUGCACCACAUGGUCUGGUCUUCCCUGCCUACAAACCAGGUGUGACAUACCAAUAGUGAUUACUGUGAACAGAACAGAACAAAGAAGAACAGGAGAGAGAACAGAAGAAACUUCCGAGAAUCAAGGCUCAGGAGAGUGAAGAAUGUAGAGAGGAUGAAAGGAGCAUUGAAGCUCAUAUCAAUGAAAUGUCUACAGAGAUGCUUAAGGUACACCCAGAUCUGAACUCUUUAAAGGAGAGAAUGAGACGAACCUAUGCAUACCGAAAGACUUUCAUGGCAACUGCCAAGGCAGAGGAAAUCAUCGAAAAGUUUCCCGCACUGAAGCUUCCUAAAAUAGUUGGUAUCUUCAAGCAUUGAAUUGACCAUAUUUAAUUGUAUGUGUAUUAUUUCAUUUAUGAUCAUCAAGUAUUUUGAGAUGACACUUUUUAUCCCUCCUUACAGCUUCUGUGGGAGAUGAAGGAGCAAUUCCUUGUAGAAGCUGAUUGCUAAUGGUCACAGAGUUGGAUCGAAUGGCAACGAAGAUGGUUCAAAGAGCAUCUAUGUGUGACCUAAAGGACUGCUGCCAAAUCAAUGCCUGCCUGGAUGAUUCAGACUCAUUAGGGAUGCAGCAAUUCUACUGCUGCCUUCCAUUUUCAGAGAGGACUCAUCCUUUCUAUACACUCUACUGGAGGAGCCAAGCGUGCCUACUCCAGCAAUCAUGCUCCAUAACACACACGAGGGGAACCCUUUGCAGGCACAAAGGAUAGUCCUAUACCUGGAUGGUAUACAGGUUUUGACUGAGGACAGCAGCAUGGACAAAUCAUAUGCUAUGAGUGCAUUAAUGUCACUCUAUAUUGUUUUUGCUGUCCAGUACCCAAAGGAACUGAGAAAAACUCUUAUUUUCAUUGAAAGAUUUGUGUUGGGGAUCAAGGACCACAGUGUUGUACCCAUUUCAGUGAAGAGACUAUACAACUGUGUCGGAAGUGGGGAGUAGUGAGUAGAUGUGUUGCAGCAUGGGAUUUCAUACUUUAUGUUCUUGUUAAUGGUCAAAUUCCUGCUGCUGCCCUUUGUUUGUACAUAUUGAUAAAAAAAAUAUCCCUUAUUUAAUACAUAUUUUGGACCAAUACAUUUUGUUUGAUUUUGGCAUAGUGACGUCUCUAGAUUUCCAUUAUUGUUACAAUACGUAACAUUUUGAGUACUAGUUGCAUAACACUGAAAAGUAUUUCAACAUUAUUUAAAUCAAUGUGAAAACUUUGUGGGAUUCCCUCACUUUCUCAUGAUUCUGUUCCACUGUCACAAUUAGUACAUACAGUAUGUACACUGAUUCUUUUCAUUGGACCAUGCAUUAUUUUAUUGUUUGUAGAUAGCUUACAAUAAGGCGCAGUAAGUGCACCUUGGAUUGAUUGAACUAAAACUAUUUUGUGUCUCUUUCUGCCAUGUCACCAUUGCUGGAGAUUUAUUUACACAAAUUCACCUACUGAGGACAGCAUGAUGUGUCUGGCCUGUCAUGUUGCUGAUUCCACUGGACCUAUGCUGACUUUUGACCUGUUCUCCCCUGGGACCUACACAGCCUUUCCUGUUUUGUUGGACUAUCUUUAAAUAAAUGUUUUUCUCAUUAAAAUGUUUUGAAUGUUUGUUCAAUGUCAACAUGAUAAAUGACCACAACAUACUAUGAACUAAACUGAUCUGUAGAAUACAAUAUGGU